UUGAUCUAUCAGGAAUUCAUGAGAUUAGAUGAAUGGAAGGGAGUUGCAGAGCUGCUUUCUUUAGAAAUGUGGUGCCAUCUUGGCCAUACGUAUGACCUUUGAUGUAGGUUAGCCACCUACCAUUCAGAUCACAAGGAGUGCAUGAAUUUGUGGUAGUUUGUCUAUUUUUAAUCUUAGAACAGUUUGUAAAAUAGCGAAAGGUUGAGUUGGUUGAUUCAAUAUAUAGGCUUGCGACAAAUAUGCAUACACUAAUUUGGCUUUAUCCUGCAAAGAGAAUCUCUUCCUAGGGGAAGAAGAGUGUGGAGUUGCUUGAGAUUUGGGUUAGAAUCAGGUUUGAUGGAGAUAGGAUAAGGAACAAAAGUGGAGAGUGGCAGGACGAAUACCUGAAGAUGAGUACAGAGAAUCUAGUGAUCCACACAGCUUGGGUGAGACGCUUGUAACUUUGCAGAGGGGGAGAGAAAAAUCUUCAACGAAAGGUUCAAACUAUUAGAGUCACAAUCUCUUCAAAAAGUUACUAACACUUGCUCUUUCAUCAAGAGCUGGUGGAAAGAGCUUGUAAUGAUGCUGGUCGCUUGAUUGUAAAUGUUAUUAUAU
rnacentral:lncRNA from 1 species